GCCCGGAUAGCUCAGUCGGUGGGGCAGGUUUGAGAGAAUCCCCACGUGUCCUUCAGUUCGAUUCCGAGUCCGGGCACCA
rnacentral:tRNA from 1 species